rnacentral:rRNA from 1 species
GCCACACUGGAACUGAGACACGGUCCAGACUCCUACGGGAGGCAGCAGUGGGGAAUAUUGCACAAUGGGCGCAAGCCUGAUGCAGCCAUGCCGCGUGUAUGAAGAAGGCCUUCGGGUUGUAAAGUACUUUCAGCAGUGAGGAAGGGGAUAUCGUUAAUAGCGGUAUUCUUUGACGUUAGCUGCAGAAGAAGCACCGGCUAACUCCGUGCCAGCAGCCGCGGUAAUACGGAGGGUGCGAGCGUUAAUCGGAAUUACUGGGCGUAAAGCGCAUGCAGGUGGUUUGUUAAGUCAGAUGUGAACGCCCGGGGCUCAACCUCGGAAUUGCAUUUGAAACUGGCAGGCUAGAGUACUGUAGAGGGGGGUAGAAUUUCAGGUGUAGCGGUGAAAUGCGUAGAGAUCUGAAGGAAUACCGGUGGCGAAGGCGGCCCCCUGGACAGAUACUGACACUCAGAUGCGAAAGCGUGGGGAGCAAACAGGAUUAGAUACCCUGGUAGUCCACGCCGUAAACGAUGUCUACUUGGAGGUUGUGGCCUUGAGCCGUGGCUUUCGGAGCUAACGCGUUAAGUAGACCGCCUGGGGAGUACGGUCGCAAGAUUAAAACUCAAAUGAAUUGACGGGGGCCCGCACAAGCGGUGGAGCAUGUGGUUUAAUUCGAUGCAACGCGAAGAACCUUACCUACUCUUGACAUCCAGAAAACUUAGCAGAGAUGCUUUGGUGCCUUCGGGAACUCUGAGACAGGUGCU